rnacentral:rRNA from 1 species
UACAGAGGUCUCAAGCGUUGUUCGGAUUCAUUGGGCGUAAAGGGCGCGUAGGCGGGCUGACAAGUCUGGGGUGAAAUGCCGCGGCUCAACCGUGGAACUGCCUCAGAUACUGUCGGCCUCGAGGAAGGUAGGGGCAUGCGGAACUGUAGGUGGAGCGGUGAAAUGCGUUGAUAUCUACAGGAACUCCGGUGGCGAAAGCGGCGUGCUGGACCUUUUCUGACGCUGAGGCGCGAAAGCUAGGGGAGCAAACGGG